UACGUAGGGUGCAAGCGUUAAUCGGAAUACUGGGCGUAAAGCGUGCGCAGGCGGUUUUAUAAGUUUGUCGUGAAAGCCCCGGGCUCAACCUGGGAAUUGCGAUGAAGACUGUAAGGCUAGAGUGUGUCAGAGGGGGGUAGAAUUCCACGUGUAGCAGUGAAAUGCGUAGAUAUGUGGAGGAACACCGAUGGCGAAGGCAGCCCCCUGGGAUAACACUGACGCUCAUGCACGAAAGCGUGGGGAGCGAAA
rnacentral:rRNA from 1 species